AGCUUUGUGCAGUGGCAGGAUCAUAGCCAGUGAGGUUUAUCCAAGGUGAGAUUAUUGCUAAUUGAAAACUUUCACCAAUGAGAUUUUUCCAUUCAUAAUUUUGAUAUUUCUAAUUGUGGUCUUUUCUUUUUGCUUAGAGAA